rnacentral:rRNA from 1 species
GACGAACGCUGGCGGCGUGCUUAACACAUGCAAGUCGAACGAGAAUUUAAUGAAGGAGGAUUUGUCCAACGGAAGUAGAGGAAAGUGGCGGACGGGUGAGUAACGCGUGAGGAACCUGCCUUGAAGAGGGGGACAACAGUUGGAAAAGACUGCUAAUACCGCAUGAAGCAUAGGGGUCGCAUGAUUUUUAUGCCAAAGAUUUAUCGCUUCAAGAAGGCCUCGCGUUUGAUUAACUAGUUGGCGGGGUAACGGCCCACCAAGGCGACGAUCAGUAGCCGGAAUGAGAGGUUGAACGGCCACAUUGGGAAUGAGAUACGGCCCAGACUCCUACGGGAGGCAGCAGUGGGGAAUAUUGGGCAAAGGGCGCAAGCCUGACCCAGCAACGCCGCGUGAAAGAAGAAAGCUUUCGGGUUGUAAACUUUUUUUAAGAGGGAAGAGCCGAAGACGGUACCUUUAGAAUAAACCCCGG